rnacentral:rRNA from 1 species
CGGAGGAUCCAAGCGUUAUCCGGAAUCAUUGGGUUUAAAGGGUCCGUAGGCGGGUUUAUAAGUCAGUGGUGAAAGCCCAUCGCUCAACGAUGGAACGGCCAUUGAUACUGUAGAUCUUGAAUUAUUAGGAAGUAACUAGAAUAUGUAGUGUAGCGGUGAAAUGCUUAGAGAUUACAUGGAAUACCAAUUGCGAAGGCAGGUUACUACCAAUGGAUUGACGCUGAUGGACGAAAGCGUGGGUAGCGAACAGGAUUAGAUACCCUGGUAGUCCACGCCGUAAACGAUGGAUACUAGCUGUUCGGAGCAAUCUGAGUGGCUAAGCGAAAGUGAUAAGUAUCCCACCUGGGGAGUACGUUCGCAAGAAUG